rnacentral:rRNA from 1 species
GAUGAACGCUAGCGGCAGGCUUAACACAUGCAAGUCGAGGGGUAGAGGAAGCUUGCUUCCUUGAGACCGGCGCACGGGUGCGUAACGCGUAUACAAUCUACCUUUUACAGAGGGAUAGCCCCAGAGAAAUUUGGAUUAAUACCUCAUAGUAUUUUCGGAUCGCAUGAUUUGAUUAUUAAAGUUCCAACGGUAAAAGAUGAGUAUGCGUCCCAUUAGCUAGAUGGUAAGGUAACGGCUUACCAUGGCAAUGAUGGGUAGGGUCCUGAGAGGGAGAUCCCCCCACACUGGUACUGAGACACGGACCAGACCUCCUACGGGAGGCAGCAGUGAGGAAUAUUGGACAAUGGGCGCAA